rnacentral:rRNA from 1 species
AUACGUAGGUGACAAGCGUUAUCCGGAUUUACUGGGCGUAAAGGGCGUGUAGGCGGUCUUGCAAGUCAGAAGUGAAAUUCCUGAGCUCAACUCGGGCGCUGCUUCUGAAACUGCAGGACUUGAGUGCUGGAGGGGAUAGCGGAAUUCCUAGUGGAGCGGUAAAAUGCGCAGAUAUUAGGAAGAACACCGGUGGCGAAGGCGGAUAUCUGGACAGUAACUGACGCUGAGGCGCGAAAGCGUGGGGAGCAAACAGGAUUAGAUACCCGGGUAGCCCACGCCGUAAACGAUGAAUACUAGGUGUAGGGGGUAUCGACUCCCUCUGUGCCGCAGUUAACACAAUAAGUAUUCCGCCUGGGGAGUACGGCCGCAAGGUUGAAACUCAAAGGAAUUGACGGGG